rnacentral:ncRNA from 1 species
CAAUACGAGGCCGUGCGACUCCACGAUAUUCGCAGGGCAAGCGUAAAAUAAAGGAGGCAUACGCAGGACCCGCCGGGCUUGCGGUGCGGCAGCGUGGAGACCUGUCGCAAAGCCAUCGCCGCCAAGCGGGCGCUGGCGAGCUGUGCAGCGAGCGAAGGCUGUGCAUGGCAGAGCCGAACAUAUGGCA